GAGGGAUAUUGGGCAAUGGGGGAAACCCUGACCCAGCAACGCCGCGUGAGGGAAGAAGGUCUUCGGAUUGUAAACCUAAGUAGUCAGGGACGAAGAAAUGACGGUACCUGAAGAGUAAGCUCCGGCUAACUACGUGCCAGCAGCCGCGGUAAUACGUAGGGAGCGAGCGUUGUCCGGAUUUACUGGGUGUAAAGGGUGCGUAGGCGGGCUGUCAAGUCAGAUGUGAAAUACCGGAGCUCAACUCCGGGGCUGCAUUUGAAACUGAUGGUCUUGAGUGAAGUAGAGGCAGGCGGAAUUCCUAGUGUAGCGGUGAAAUGCGUAGAUAUUAGGAGGAACACCAGUGGCGAAGGCGGCCUGCUGGGCUUUAACUGACGCUGAGGCACGAAAGCAUGGGGAGCAAACAGGAUUAGAUACCCUGGUAGUCCAUGCUGUAAACGAUGAUAGCUAGGUGUGGGAGGACUGACCCCUACCGUGCCGGAGUAAACACAAUAAGCUAUCCACCUGGGGAGUACGAUCGCAAGAUUGAAACUCAAAGGAAUUGACGGGGGUCCGCACAAGCAGUGGAGUAUGUGGUUUAAUUCGACGCAACGCGAAGAACCUUACCAGGUCUUGACAUCCAACUAACGAGGCAGAGAUGCGUCAGGUGCCCUUCGGGGAAAGUUGAGACAGGUGGUGCAUGGUUGUCGUCAGCUCGUGUCGUGAGAUGUUGGGUUAAGUCCCGCAACGAGCGCAACCCUUGUCCUUAGUUGCUACGGAAGAGCACUCUAAGGAGACUGCCGUUGACAAAACGGAGGAAGGUGGGGACGACGUCAAAUCAUCAUGCCCUUUAUGACUUGGGCUACACACGUGCUACAAUGGCGUAAACAAAGGGAAGCAAUCCCGCGAGGGGGAGCAAAUCUCAAAAAUAACGUCUCAGUUCGGACUGUAGUCUGCAACUCGACUACACGAAGCUGGAAUCGCUAGUAAUCGCGAAUCAGAAUGUCGCGGUGAAUACGUUCCCG
rnacentral:rRNA from 1 species